rnacentral:rRNA from 1 species
GGCUCAGAUCAUGGCUCAGAUUGAACGCUGGCGGGAUGCUUUACACAUGCAAGUCGAAAACGGCAGCACGGACUUCGGUCUGGUGGCGAGUGGCGAACGGGUGAGUAAUGUAUCGGAACGUGCCCAGUAGCGGGGGAUAACUACGCGGUGUUGUAGCUAAUACUGCAUACUGCCCUUCGGGGAAAGCAGAUCUUCGGCCUCUUGCAAUUAUUAGAGCGGCCGAUAUCGAUUAGCUGGUUGGUGGGGUAACGGCUCACCAAGGCGACGAUCCGUAGCUGGUUUGAGGGGACGACCAGUUACUACUGGACUGGAGGACACGGCCCAGACUCCUACGGGAGGCAAGGGGAAUUUUGGACAAUGGGGAAACCCUGAUCCAGCCAUCCCGCGUGUGCGAUGAAGGCCUUCGGGUUGUAAAGCACUUUUGGCAGGAAAAGAAAUGUCACGGGAUAAUACCUCGUGCAACUGACGGUACCUGCAGAAUAAGCACCGGCUAACUACGUGCCAGCAGCCGCGGUAAUACGUAGGGUGCAAGCGUUAAUCGGAAUUACUGGGCGAAGCGUGCGCAGGCGGUUCGGAAAGAAGAUGUGAAAUCCCAGAGCUUAACUUUGGAACUACUAACUGCAUUUCGCCAGAGUGUGUCAGAGGGAGGAAUUUCGGGCGUGUAGCAGUGAAAUGGGUGUAGAUAUGCGGAGGACUGAUGGCGAAGGCAGCCUCCUGAUAACACUGACGUCGGCACGAAAGCGCGGGGAGCAACAGAUUAGAUACUCCUGUAGUCCACGCCCUAAACGAUGUCACCAGCUGUUGGGGCCUUCGGGCCUUGGAAGGCAGCUAACGCGUAGAAGUUGACCGCCUGGGGAGUACGGUCGCAAGAUUAAACCCAAAGGAAUUGACGGGGACUCCGCACAAGCGGUGGAUGAUGUGGAUUAAUUCGAUGCAACGCAAAACCUUACCUACCCUUUGACAUGUCUGGAAUCCCGAAGAGAUUUGGGAGUGCUCGCAAGAGAACCGGAACACAGGUGUUGCAUGGCUGUCGUCAGCCGUGUCGUGAGAUGUUGGGUUAAGUCCCGCAACGAGCGCAACCCUUGUCAUUAGUUGCUACGAAAGGGCACUCUAAUGAGACUGCCGGUGACAAACCGGAGGAAGGUGGGGAUGACGUCAAGUCCUCAUGGCCCUUAUGGUAGGGCUUCACACGUCAUACAAUGGUCGAGACAGAGGGUCGCCAACCCGCGAGGGGGAGCCAAUCCCAGAAACCUUCGAUCGUAGUCCGGAUCGCAAAGUCUGCAACUCGACUGCGUGAAGUCGGAAUCGCUAGCAAUCGCGGAUCAGCAUGUCGCGGUGAAUACGUUCCCGGGUCUUGUACACACCGCCCGUCACACCAUGGGAGUGGGUUUUACCAGAAGUAGUUAGCCUAACCGUAAGGAGGGCGAUUACCACGGUAGGAUUCAUGACUGGGGUGAAGUCGUAACAAGGUAG